AGAGUUUGAUCCUGGCUCAGAUUGAACGCUGGCGGCAUGCCUUACACAUGCAAGUCGAACGGCAGCACGGACUUCGGUCUGGUGGCGAGUGGCGAACGGGUGAGUAAUGUAUCGGAACGUACCUUUCAGUGGGGGAUAACGUAGCGAAAGUUACGCUAAUACCGCAUAUUCUGUGAGCAGGAAGGCAGGGGAUCGCAAGACCUUGCGCUGAUUGAGCGGCCGAUAUCAGAUUAGCUAGUUGGUGAGGUAAAGGCUCACCAAGGCGACGAUCUGUAGCGGGUCUGAGAGGAUGAUCCGCCACACUGGAACUGAGACACGGUCCAGACUCCUACGGGAGGCAGCAGUGGGGAAUUUUGGACAAUGGGGGCAACCCUGAUCCAGCCAUGCCGCGUGAGUGAAGAAGGCCUUCGGGUUGUAAAGCUCUUUCGGCCGGGAAGAAAUCGCAUAGGUUAGUACCCUGUGUGGAUGACGGUACCGGAAUAAGAAGCACCGGCUAACUACGUGCCAGCAGCCGCGGUAAUACGUAGGGUGCGAGCGUUAAUCGGAAUUACUGGGCGUAAAGCGUGCGCAGGCGGUUUCGUAAGACAGAGGUGAAAUCCCCGGGCUCAACCUGGGAACUGCCUUUGUGACUGCGAAGCUAGAGUACGGCAGAGGGGGGUGGAAUUCCACGUGUAGCAGUGAAAUGCGUAGAGAUGUGGAGGAACACCAAUGGCGAAGGCAGCCCCCUGGGUCGAUACUGACGCUCAUGCACGAAAGCGUGGGUAGCAAACAGGAUUAGAUACCCUGGUAGUCCGCGCCCUAAACGAUGUCAACUAGGUGUUGGGUGGGUAAAACCAUUUAGUACCGGAGCUAACGCGUGAAGUUGACCGCCUGGGGAGUACGGCCGCAAGGUUAAAACUCAAAGGAAUUGACGGGGACCCGCACAAGCGGUGGAUGAUGUGGAUUAAUUCGAUGCAACGCGAAAAACCUUACCUACCCUUGACAUGUCCAGAAGCCCGAAGAGAUUUGGGUGUGCCCGAAAGGGAGCUGGAACACAGGUGCUGCAUGGCUGUCGUCAGCUCGUGUCGUGAGAUGUUGGGUUAAGUCCCGCAACGAGCGCAACCCUUGUCGUUAAUUGCCAUCAUUUAGUUGGGCACCUUAACGAGACUGCCGGUGACAAACCGGAGGAAGGUGGGGAUGACGUCAAGUCCUCAUGGCCCUUAUGGGUAGGGCUUCACACGUCAUACAAUGGUCGGUACAGAGGGUUGCCAAGCCGCGAGGUGGAGCCAAUCCCAGAAAGCCGAUCGUAGUCCGGAUCGUAGGCUGCAACUCGCCUGCGUGAAGUCGGAAUCGCUAGUAAUCGCGGAUCAGCAUGUCGCGGUGAAUACGUUCCCGGGUCUUGUACACACCGCCCGUCACACCAUGGGAGCGGGUUCCGCCAGAAGUAGGUAGCCUAACCGCAAGGGGGGCGCUUACCACGGCGGGGUUCGUGACUGGGGGGAAGUCGUAACAAGGUAGCCGUA
rnacentral:rRNA from 1 species